ensembl:snoRNA SNORA73 Small nucleolar RNA SNORA73 family
CCAAGAGAAAGUGUGGCAUUAGCUUUUCUUAACAAGAGGGAAAAACAUAGGGCUCUGCCCCGUGAUGUACCGUCCCUUUCCACAACGUUGGAGAGAAAGCCGGGCCUUGAGUCAGCACCUGCUUAUUCCUACAACUUCUCAGUCCUGUGGACGAUGACUGAGGAGAUAAACCAUGCAGGAAACAUCU